rnacentral:rRNA from 1 species
GACGUAGGGGGCAAGCGUUGUCCGGAUUUAUUGGGCGUAAAGAGCGUGUAGGCGGCCAUACAGGUCCGUUGUGAAAACUCGAGGCUUAACCUCGAGACGUCGAUGGAAACCGUAUGGCUAGAGUCCGGAAGAGGAGAGUGGAAUUCCUGGUGUAGCGGUGAAAUGCGCAGAUAUCAGGAAGAACACCGGUGGCGAAGGCGCUCUGCUAGGCCGCAACUGACACUGAGGGACGAAAGCUAGGGGAGCGAAUGGG